UACGUAGGGAGCAAGCGUUAUCCGGAAUUAUUGGGUGUAAAGGGUGCGUAGACGGGAUAACAAGUUGGUUGUGAAACCCCUCGGCUCAACUGAGGAACUGCAACCAAAACUAUUAUUCUUGAGUGCAGGAGAGGAAAGUGGAAUUCCUAGUGUAGCGGUGAAAUGCGUAGAUAUUAGGAAGAACACCGGUGGCGAAGGCGACUUUCUGGUCUGUAACUGACGUUGAGGCACGAAAGUGUGGGGAGCAAACAGG
rnacentral:rRNA from 1 species